GAUGAAGAACGCAGCGAAAUGCGAUAAGUAAUGUGAAUUGCAGAAUUCAGUGAAUCAUCGAAUCUUUGAACGCACCUUGCACCCUUUGGCAUUCCGAAGGGUAUGCUCGUUUGAGUGUCAUUGUACUCUCACACUUCCGAUCUUUGGAUUGGGAGCGGUGGACUUGGGUGUUGCUGCUUACUGUGGCUCACCUCAAAUCGAUUCGUGCACCUCUUGGUUGGACAUAGUACGGCGUGAUAAGUGUCUUCGCCGGCACCUCAGUAGAGGGUGGCUGAUCGGNAGCUCUGCUUCAAACCGUCCUCGGACAACAACUGACAACUUGACCUCAAAUCGAGUAGGACUACCCGCUGAACUUAAGCAUAUCAAUAAGCGGAGGA
rnacentral:misc_RNA from 1 species